UGAAUUUUUGUUGUAGUUGUUUUGUGAUACACAACCUAAAUAUCUAACCAAAGCAAAACCAUGACCCACAAAUUAAGGGGUGGAACCAAAAAGUAAGGGAAACUAAUCACAACAUCCCUGAAAAGUACAUAUUUGUGCAGCAUCAGACCUAAAUUAACAUUAUUUGCACUGAUAGGGCUUCGUUAGCUUUCCCUUAACAGACUUGUAUUUUGAAUGAACUUCCAGCUGUCUCGUGGUUUCGUCAAACCUCUCUAACUUGUUCAGUGUGCCGUACAGCAGCCUCCAUAUGACAGUUCCUGAAUGGACCCACAUGCGUUCACAUGAUUGCUGAUUGGAGCCAGAGCAGAUAAGAACUACUGCAGUGCUGAAAGCUCCGGACCUCUUUCCCCCCCCGGACUCCAAAGAGACGUGAAGAAGGAUGGAGUUUGACAGCGUGUUCUGUGUGUGGGCGUCUGCUCUGUUUUACUUCAGCCACAGCUCAUCCAAGACAUCCCAGGAAGGAAGACCAUCCUUUUUUUUUUUAAAAACGAGAAGGAGCGGAGUGACUCCUGGAGAAAAACAGACGGGCUGGUUCUUCAGGAGCGUCUGACGUCCUGACAGUCCAAACAAGGACCCUCAGACAAAACAGAACCCGGCUGGAUGGGGAACAAUGGACUCUGGAGGCAGUUCUCAGGGAAAUCCUCUGCAGGGUGACUUCACCGGCUUUGACCACAAAUGGACAUCUGAACGCUGGAUCUGAGGAGAAUCCCACCAGAAUUUGCUGUUCUCAUCCUGUUUCAUGCUGCAGAUGAGACAUACAAUGACGGAGCCUCUUUUUCACGUUGAUCCGUCUUCGUCUCCUUCACCUGCGACGGUGUCACUUUCGGUUCUGCCUUUUCGGCCUCGGGGGGCUGGUUCAGGGCUUCGCUCAGAGCCGUGAUCAUCCUGGCCGCCUCCCCCGGAGCCUCCGAGUGGUCCAGGCUGCAGGUCAAACUGAAGGAUCUGAGGGGUCGGAAACAGAGCAACGUGACGUCAUUACGGAGGCCCCAGAGGGACGAACGCCGCGGUCACACAGCAGGGGCCCGAACGGAAAAUGUCGUCUGUUUGUUUCAAAGCUCACAGAUGAGAAAAUAAACAAAGAGGAAGUCCAUCUAUAAAUGAGCAGAACGCACAUGAAGACUAGCAAGAGUCUGCCGUUAUGAUGCGGAUCACGACACAAUCCAUAUAACAGGACUGUAACAGAGACAAUAAAAUCACAAAUUUUAAAAGAGCAAAACUAUCUGAAUGCUAAUACACUUUUCCAUGAAUAAAAUUAAAAAACAUUUUAGUUAA